rnacentral:rRNA from 1 species
CGGACGGGUGAGUAACACGUGGAUAACCUACCUAUAAGACUGGGAUAACUUCGGGAAACCGGAGCUAAUACGGAUAAUAUAUUGAACCGCAUGGUUCAAUAGUGAAAGACGGUUUUGCUGUCACUUAUAGAUGGAUCCGCGCCGCAUUAGCUAGUUGGUAAGGUAACGGCUUACCAAGGCAACGAUGCGUAGCCGACCUGAGAGGGUGAUCGGCCACACUGGAACUGAGACACGGUCCAGACUCCUACGGGAGGCAGCAGAG